GACGAACGCUGGCGGCGUGCUUAACACAUGCAAGUCGAACGGGGUCCAUCUGGUCGCAAGACCAGAGAAGACCGAGUGGCGAACGGGUGCGUAACACGUGAGAAACCUGUCCCGGUCUCUGGAAUAACAGUCGGAAACGACUGCUAAUACCGGAUGCCGUCGGAGCGUCGCAUGGCGCGCUGACGAAAGGGCUACCGGAUCGGGAGGGUCUCGCGGCCUAUCAGCUUGUUGGUGAGGUAACGGCUCACCAAGGCAUCGACGGGUAGCUGGUCUGAGAGGAUGAUCAGCCACACUGGGACUGAGACACGGCCCAGACUCCUACGGGAGGCAGCAGUGGGGAAUCUUGCACAAUGGGCGAAAGCCUGAUGCAGCAACGCCGCGUGCGGGAUGAAGGCCUUAGGGUUGUAAACCGCUUUCAGCAGGGAAGAAAAUGACGGUACCUGUAGAAGAAGGUGCGGCCAACUACGUGCCAGCAGCCGCGGUGAUACGUAGGCACCAAGCGUUGUCCGGAUUUAUUGGGCGUAAAGAGCUCGUAGGCGGUUCGGUAAGUCGGGUGUGAAAACUCUGGGCUCAACCCAGAGAGGCCACCCGAUACUGCCGUGACUGGAGUGCGGUAGGGGAGUGGGGAAUUCCUGGUGUAGCGGUGAAAUGCGCAGAUAUCAGGAGGAACACCAGUGGCGAAGGCGCCACUCUGGGCCGUAACUGACGCUGAGGAGCGAAAGCGUGGGUAGCAAACAGGAUUAGAUACCCUGGUAGUCCACGCCGUAAACGUUGGGCACUAGGUGUGGGUCUCAACCAACGAGAUCCGCGCCGUCGCUAACGCAUUAA
rnacentral:rRNA from 1 species